ACAUCUCAACUCCUCACGGUUCGCCCGUGAUGAGCUUGGACUUUGGGGGUCUUGCCGGCCUGUGGGUCGGCUCCUCUCAAAUGAAUCAGCUUGCCGGUGUUUGGUGGCGUCACAGUGUGAUAACUAUCUACGCUUGUGGUUUCCCGCCAGGUAUCCUCCAGCAAUGGGGGUUCACUGGAGCUCACAAAUGUCUCUCCUCGGUGAGGACAGCUCUCUGAAC
rnacentral:misc_RNA from 1 species